rnacentral:rRNA from 1 species
AGUGAACGCUGGCGGCAGGCCUAACACAUGCAAGUCGAGCGGCAGCGCGGGGGCAACCCUGGCGGCGAGCGGCGGACGGGUGAGGAAUUCGUCGGAAUCUGCCUUUUUGUGGGGGAUAACGUAGGGAAACUUACGCUAAUACCGCAUACGACCUACGGGUGAAAGUGGGGGACCGCAAGGCCUCACGCAGAAAGAUGAGCCGACGACCGAUUAGCUAGUUGGUGGGGUAAAGGCCCACCAAGGCGACGAUCGGUAGCUGGUCUGAGAGGAUGAUCAGCCACACUGGGACUGAGACACGGCCCAGACUCCUGCGGGAGGCAGCAGUGGGGAAUAUUGGACAAUGGGCGCAAGCCUGAUCCAGCCAUGCCGCGUGUGUGAGGAAGGCCUUCGGGUUGUAAAGCACUUUUGUCCGGAAAGAAAUCUUCCAGAUUAAUACUCUGGGAGGAUGACGGUACCGGAAGAAUGAGCACCGGCUAACUUCGUGCCAGCAGCCGCGGUAACAC